rnacentral:piRNA from 1 species
UUCAGACUACAAUCAGACUAA